UGGGCGUGAUGUGAAGCCUUGGCCUGACCGCCCGUGGAGGGAAAAGACUGAUUUAAUGAGGCUGAUCC